rnacentral:lncRNA from 1 species
GGUUGUCAAAAUUGCAAUUUUCUCUAUUCAAUGAACUAACUGAUAACCUGAGUCGGCAAGAGAUAGAUUCCAUACGUGCAAAGAAAGUUGCCGUACGUUCAGGAUGUCUGCUUGUAACUUGAUCACUCCUGUUGCGUCCCAAUCCUACAGAGUACAGAAGUACACAUGUUUCAACAAGAAAUUGGUGCUAACUGAAGCGAUGGCACUUUCUGUGUUAGUAUGCAUGUGCUUAGAGCCAUGCACGCAGGG